GCCAGGUGUGGUGGUGCAUGCCUGUAAUUCCAGCGACUUGGGAGGCUGAGGCAGGAGGAUCUUCAGUUCAAGGCCAGCCUCAAAAAUUUAGUAAGGCGCUAACCAACUCAGUGAGACCCUGUCUCUA
rnacentral:sRNA from 1 species